rnacentral:rRNA from 1 species
GGACUGAGAGGUUGAACGGCCACAUUGGGACUGAGACACGGCCCAGACUCCUACGUGAGGCAGCAGUGGGGAAUAUUGCACAAUGGGGGAAACCCUGAUGCAGCGACGCCGCGUGGAGGAAGAAGGUCUUCGGAUUGUAAACUCCUGUUGUUGAGGAAGAUAAUGACGGUACUCAACAAGGAAGUGACGGCUAACUACGUGCCAGCAGCCGCGGUAAAACGUAGGUCACAAGCGUUGUCCGGAAUUACUGGGUGUAAAGGGAGCGCAGGCGGGAAGACAAGUUGGAAGUGAAAUCCAUGGGCUCAACCCAUGAACUGCUUUCAAAACUGUUUUUCUUGAGUAGUGCAGAGGUAGGCGGAAUUCCCGGUGUAGCGGUGGAAUGCGUAGAUAUCGGGAGGAACACCAGUGGCGAAGGCGGCCUACUGGGCACCAACUGACGCUGAGGCUCGAAAGUGUGGGUAGCAAACAGGAUUAGAUACCCUGGUAGUCCACACUGUAAACGAUGAUUACUAGGUGUUGGAGGAUUGACCCCUUCAGUGCCGCAGUUAACACAAUAAGUAAUCCACCUGGGGAGUACGACCGCAAGGUUGAAACUCAAAGGAAUUGACGGGGGCCCGCACAAGCAGUGGAGUAUGUGGUUUAAUUCGACGCAACGCGAAGAACCUUACCAAGUCUUGACAUCCUGCGACGGUGCUGGAAACAGUACUUUCCUUCGGGACGCAGAGACAGGUGGUGCAUGGUUGUCGUCAGCUCGUGUCGUGAGAUGUUGGGUUAAGUCCCGCAACGAGCGCAACCCUUAUGGUCAGUUACUACGCAAGAGGACUCUGGCCAGACUGCCGUUGACAAAACGGAGGAAGGUGGGGAUGACGUCAAAUCAUCAUGCCCUUUAUGACUUGGGCUACACACGUACUACAAUGGCGUUAAACAAAGAGAAGCAAGACCGCGAGGUGGAGCAAAACUCAGAAACAACGUCCCAGUUCGGACUGCAGGCUGCAACUCGCCUGCACGAAGUCGGAAUUGCUAGUAAUCGCAGAUCAGCAUGCUGCGGUGAAUACGUUCCCGGGCCUUGUACACACCGCCCGUCACACCAUGAGAGCCGGGGGGACCCGAAGUCGGUAGUCUAACCGCAAGGAGGACGCCGCCGAAGGUAAAAACUGGUGAUUGGGGUGAAGUCGUAACAAGGUAGCCGUAGGAGAACCUGCGGCUG